rnacentral:rRNA from 1 species
GACGAACGCUGGCGCCGUGCUUAACACAUGCAAGUCGAACGGAAAGGCCCUGCUUUUGUGGGGUGCUCGAGUGGCGAACGGGUGAGUAACACGUGAGUAACCUGCCCUUGACUUUGGGAUAACUUCAGGAAACUGGGGCUAAUACCGGAUAGGAGCUCCUGCUGCAUGGUGGGGGUUGGAAAGUUUCGGCGGUUGGGGAUGGACUCGCGGCUUAUCAGCUUGUUGGUGGGGUAGUGGCUUACCAAGGCUUUGACGGGUAGCCGGCCUGAGAGGGUGACCGGCCACAGUGGGACUGAGAUACGGCACAGACUCCUACGGGAGGCAGCAGUGGGGGAUAUUGCACAAUGGGCGGAAGCCUGAUGCAGCAACGCCGCGUGCGGGAUGACGGCCUUCGGGUUGUAAACCGCUUUCGCCUGUGACGAAGCGUGAGUGACGGUAAUGGGUAAAGAGGCACCGGCUAACUACGUG